rnacentral:rRNA from 1 species
UACGUAGGGUGCAAGCGUUGUCCGGAAUUAUUGGGCGUAAAGAGCUCGUAGGCGGUCUGUCGCGUCGGAUGUGAAAACCCGGGGCUUAACCCCGGGCCUGCAUUCGAUACGGGCAGACUCGAGUGUGGUAGGGGAGACUGGAACUCCUGGUGUAGCGGUGAAAUGCGCAGAUAUCAGGAAGAACACCGGUGGCGAAGGCGGGUCUCUGGGCCGAAACUGACGCUGAGGAGCGAAAGCGUGGGGAGCAAACAGG